GAACCACUCAAACAAAAGUGCAAAAUAUGACAAGUAGAGGUACGGAGGUUGAGUUCAUUUCAACAUAAAAUCGCAGCACACAGACGACGUCAUGUGAUAUUGAACAUUUUGAGGAUAGCGCUGUAUGGUCUGAUACAGAAAGCACGUCGACGAUGAGCAAUAGCAACAAUGGAUCAGACUCUCAAUGUUGAAAUGAGUUAAGCGAAAAUGAAGAAUCCGACAAUGACAAUGCAACGGAAGACGUUCAAAAUGAGAGAAAAUACAUAGUGUUUGAUAGUUGCCUGAGACAGUUAGUGAGUCAAUGCCCAUGUUGUGGUGAAAGCUGUUCCAUUGUGACGAAAACGACUAGUAGUAUGGUUAACGUACUAGCAAAAUGUCAUUGUGGUUAUGUUCGAGACUAGAAUAGCCAACCUCUGCAUGAGCGAAUGCCUUUGGGUAACUUCGUCUUUGCUGCCAGCAUUUUGUUUAG